rnacentral:rRNA from 1 species
CCUACGGGUGACAGCAGUGGGGAAUAUUGGGCAAUGGGCGCAAGCCUGACCCAGCAACGCCGCGUGAAGGAAGAAGGCCUUCGGGUUGUAAACUUCUUUUGUCAGGGACGAAGAAAGUGACGGUACCUGAGGAAUAAGCCACGGCUAACUACGUGCCAGCAGCCGCGGUAAUACGUAGGUGGCAAGCGUUAUCCGGAUUUACUGGGUGUAAAGGGCGUGUAGGCGGGAGAGCAAGUCAGACGUGAAAUCCCAGGGCUCAACCCUGGAACUGCGUUUGAAACUGUUCUUCUUGAGUGAUGGAGAGGCAAGCGGAAUUCCGUGUGUAGCGGUGAAAUGCGUAGAUAUACGGAGGAACACCAGUGGCGAAGGCGGCUUGCUGGACAGUAACUGACGCUGAGGCGCGAAAGCGUGGGGAGCAAACAGGAUUAGAUACCCGUGUAGUC